CCAACAACAAGAGCCAGAUUAUCUGAAGCAGCAGUCCUGAACCAAGCAGUUAAGCUCCAACAGUGCAAAGAAAAACCAGAAAUGUAAGAACCUGGCUGAAUUAGCUUUAAAUCUAAAAUGCCUAAGAUGGUUCUUGGCAUAAAGUAAGUUCUUUGUAAUUUUGGUUAAAUGAUAGAUACUGACUCAAAUUAGUUAUUAAUGGGAACUGAUACAUGUAAGGUUUAUGAGAUAGCAGAAUUAAUUUGAGCCUAAUACCCUAAAUAAAAUUUCAGGUGAGGAUAUUUUUGUGUUGUUUUGUUUUGAAGUUGUUAAUGUUUUGCCUCCAACAUCUGGUUUGGGAAUUCGGAACUAAUGAAACAGCUGCCAUGUUGUAAGCUGUCCUGUGAAGAGGGCCACAGGGCAAGAAACUCAUGCAACCAACAGCUAUUGAGGAGCUGAGGCUUGUUAGCAGCCAUGUAAGUGAAUUUGAAAGUAGAUUAAAAUGACUGUAGGCCUGACCUUCACCUUAUUUGCAGCACUAUGAGAAACCCUGAUGAAAGGAUUCACCUAAGCUGUACUGAACUCUUGACACUUAGAAACUGUGAGUAAUAAGUAGUUAUUGCUUUUAGUUGCUAAUGUUAGGCCAAUUUGUUAUGUAGCAGGAAUCUCUUAAGACACCAUGUAAUACAUUUAUGGUCUUUUUUCUAUUGAAUUGUAUGUAACCUUAUCAUUGAAUCAUUAAUUCCACUCAUUUAUUGCUAUAGACUUGCUGUAGCUCAUAUGUAAUAGAGUGUUUCCCCCUGCUUCACCUUUUUAUUUUAAAGUCAACUUUGGUAUUUGUUAAUUUUCUUCUUCAUACUUUUUAUGGUAAGUUCACUGAAUUUUUGAAAUAUAGUUAGAAUUUGAUUGAAUUUGCAUCGUUUAUUGACAAAUAUGCAGAAUUUAUAACUUUAUUUCACUAUAAUCUCAUUC
rnacentral:lncRNA from 1 species